rnacentral:rRNA from 1 species
CUACGGGUCGCUCCAGUGGGGAAUAUUGCACAAUGGGCGCAAGCCUGAUGCAGCCAUGCCGCGUGUAUGAAGAAGGCCUUCGGGUUCUAAAGUACUUUCAGCGGGGAGGAAGGGAGUAAAGUUAAUACCUUUGCUCAUUGACGUUACCCGCAGAAGAAGCACCGGCUAACUCCGUGCCAGCAGCCGCGGUAAUACGGAGGGUGCAAGCGUUAAUCGGAAUUACUGGGCGUAAAGCGCACGCAGGCGGUUUGUUAAGUCAGAUGUGAAAUCCCCGGGCUCAACCUGGGAACUGCAUCUGAUACGGGCAAGCUUGAGUCUCGUAGAGGGGGGUAGAAUUCCAGGUGUAGCGGUGAUAUGCGUAGAGAUCUGGAGGAAUACCGGUGGCGAAGGCGGCCCCCUGGACGAAGACUGACGCUCAGGUGCGAAAGCGUGGGGAGCAAACAGGAUUAGAUACCCUAGUAGUC